GACAGAGGGUGCAAACGUUGUUCGGAAUUACUGGGCGUAAAGCGCGUGUAGGCGGCUAAGUAAGUCGGGCGUGAAAUCCCACGGCUCAACCGUGGAAGUGCACUCGAAACUGCAUAGCUAGAGUCCUGGAGAGGAAGGUGGAAUGCUUGGUGUAGAGGUGAAAUUCGUAGAUAUCAAGCGGAACACCGGUGGCGAAGGCGGCC
rnacentral:rRNA from 1 species